rnacentral:rRNA from 1 species
UACGAAGGGGGCUAGCGUUGCUCGGGAUCACUGGGCGUAAAGGGUGCGUAGGCGGGUCUUUAAGUCAGGGGUGAAAUCCUGGAGCUCAACUCCAGAACUGCCUUUGAUACUGAAGAUCUUGAGUUCGGGAGAGGUGAGUGGAACUGCGAGUGUAGAGGUGAAAUUCGUAGAUAUUCGCAAGAACACCAGUGGCGAAGGCGGCUAUCUGGACGGUUUCUGACGCUAAGACGCGAAAGCGUGGGGAGCAAACAGG